UUGGUUCAACACAGUCUGCUUUGUGCUCUGCAUCAGCAACUUCCCUGCAAACAGAGCGCUUGCUCUGUCCAUCACAGUAAGCUUCAACGGUGUAAGCGCUGCCUUAUACACACUUGCUUACAACGCAAUCAACCCAACCUCUCCAGAGCUCUACCUUCUCUUAAACGCUCUCAUACCACUCGUUGUCUCCUUCACUGCAAUCAUCCCGAUACUUCGUCAACCGCCUUUCGAGCCUCUUCCACCAGAUGGAGUUCGCCGCGACUCUCUCAUGUUUCUACUGCUCAACAUUCUCGCCGCUCUAAACGGUGUUUACCUCCUCCUCUUUGAGUCAAACUCCUCUGAUAUAACCUCUGCUCGUCUCCUCUUUGGUGGUGCAAUCAUCCUCUUGGUCCUCCCUUUAUGUAUCCCCGGUUUAGUCAUCGCCCGUAACUGGUAUCAUCGCACGAUCCACACAAGUUUCCGCCUUGAAGGUUCCGGUUUCAUUCUCGUUCAUCCUGAUGAGCUUGAGCUGCAUAAAGGAAUGGUUGCACAUGAAGCCAAUAGAGAAGGCUACCAGUUGCUAAACGACGACAUUGUGCAAAACCUUGUUGUUAAGACUACAGCUCCAGAGGAAGGUGACACUGAUGAGUCCUGUUGCAAGAAGCUUAUUACAAGAGGCCAGCUUGAGAUAUUGGGAACUGAACAUUCUUUGUCGCAGCUCUUACGUAGAGCUGACUUCUGGUUCUACUAUAUUGCGUACUUCUGCGGUGGAACCAUCGGACUUGUGUACAGCAACAACCUCGGACAGAUUGCUCAGUCUUUAGGACAAAGCUCAAAGACUACAACUCUUGUCACACUUUAUUCUUCCUUCUCAUUCUUUGGAAGAUUACUCUCGGCAACACCGGACUAUAUCCGAGCGUAAGUGCAUUUGAUCCAUAUUAAUUUAUCGUAUUUAUUAAUUUAUCAAAUAUUAAUUUAUAGAGUUUAUAGUUUGGUUUUGCGGGUUUUGAUUUGGAUUAAGUUGUGCAGGAAGGUUUAUUUUGCAAGAACCGGGUGGUUAGCAAUCGCGCUUUUGCCAACACCAAUCGCGCUUUUCUUGCUCGCAUCAUCAGGAACCGCGUCAGCGUUACAAGCGGGAACAGCUCUGAUUGGUCUAAGCUCAGGAUUCAUAUUCGCAGCAGCUGUUUCGAUCACAUCAGAGCUCUUUGGACCAAACAGUGUUGGAGUUAACCACAACAUCUUGAUCACAAACAUACCGAUAGGAUCGUUGAUCUAUGGAUUCUUGGCUGCAUUGGUCUAUGACUCGCAUGGUUCGACUGCGAUCAAAUCAAUGAAAGACUCCGUCGUGUGUAUGGGACGGGGUUGCUAUUACUUGACCUUUGUGUGGUGGGGAUGCUUGUCGGUUCUUGGACUCGCUUCUAGUCUUGUGUUGUUUAUUAGGACUAGAAGAGCUUAUCAACGGUUUGAACAAGCUCGGAUAAGUUCAAAUAUUGAUUCAUAGAAAUUUUACCUUCAUUCCCCGACGGCUUGUGUAUAUCACAGUAUAUGUAGGGAUCUAUAUUUAACAGACGUAUUAAUGGACUGUUAUGGAUUUUGGCUGAUAAUAUUUUGUUGUCGCUGAUUUAUUUUAGUCUCAAAUUCUGAUAAUUGUUAAAUUAUCCUAUCCUUUCUACAAUAAUAUUAUUUUUUUUGGGUGAGAAUUUACGUUUGACAGCGCUACUUGCAACUAAAUCAUUUUAUGCUCUUUCUUUUAUGGUGGUGGAAACCUUCCUGACUGAUAAAUUAAUGAUACCGUUUUUAAAAAUACAGUUUUUAAUUAAGAUAUAAAAAUUUAAAAAAUUAUUUUGCUCGAGAAAGCAAUGUAUUUGGAUGUGCAAUCUCUUGUAACCGUUAUUUCUGAAGUGAUUUUUUAGUACCCCAUCAGUUAUGAAAUGAUUACAUUACUGAAGACUCACCUUUUCAUUACAGACAUAUAUAUAUAUAUUAAAAUGUUGAUAAAUCAAAGAUACUCGAGUAAUUAAAACUAUACUUUACUAAUUUAAGGGAAGAUACAAAACCUCUGAUCCUUAAUACAAAGAAAAAGCCUCUCAUAAGCUAAAGCCAUCUUACUCGCCGUAAACAUCUCCGCCGCAUACUCUUUACACUUCCUCCCUCUCUCCGCCAAUCUCUCCGCUCCUUCCGCCACCGCAACUUCCAUAACCGCCGUCAAAGCCUCCACAUUCGGCGCAAACAUAAACCCAAACUCAUCAUUCACCACAAUACUCCUCUUUAUGCUCGCAUACCUCGACGCCAUCACCGGUUUACCACUCAACAUCGCUUCCAUCAAAGUCAAAUCAAGACCUUGUGGUCUAAGCGUUGGAUUCACAAACAAAUCGAUCCCGUUGUAGAAACCCUUGAGCUCAUUUGGGUUCAGAGAUCCCAAAAUAGUAACUUUCUCGCCAAGUUCCUUGUAACGGUUCUCCCAUGGUCCUGACCCAGCUACCACAAGGUGAACAUUUGAAUGUGUUUCGAUUAGUUUUGCGAAGGCUUCGUAGAGAAUCGGAUGUCCCUUGUCUUUCACCAAUCUCCCUGCAGCUCCUAAGACAAUAGCCGAUGAGUUUUCUUGUAACCCUAGUUUUGACCUAAACAGAGAACGUAGCUUCUUGUCUGAUUUGAACCCAUUUUCGUCGACUCCGUUGAGGAUCACAUGAACCCUUUUCUCCGGGAUUUGGUAAACGUCUCUCAGCAUUUCCCCGCAGCUGUCGCUGAUUGCUAUGUGAUGAGCGUAGUUGUGGAAGAAUCUGAUUUCUUGAGAAAUUGAAAUAUAAUAUAGCCACUUCAUAGUUAAAUGUACAAGUGUUUUUAUAAUAUAUACUGUUAAUUUCUGUGAAAUUUAAGUAUAUGAUUUAUUUUGUAAAACUAUUAAAUAUGAUAUGAUAAAAGUUAUAAAACUGCGAUAUUUUCAUGUGGAAAUAGUUUUAUUGCAUAUCAUGCAAAUUAUAUUUGAAGUUAUAAGACAUAGUUCUUUCUAAUCAGAAGUACUUUUAUAUUUCACUUAAUUUAGCUAAAAACAUAGAAAGAAUGUUUUUUUAGUUUAUAAAAUCAAAUAGACAUGAACAUUGGCUAUCAAUUUAGGUACAUAUUUUUUUAGGGUAUUGUUUUUUUUUUUUUUGAAAUAAAGUUCCGCUUGAAUAUUAUAAAUUUAUGUGUCAUUUUGAGUUGAGUCAUUCUGAGUCUGGAUGAGUUCGGUUAUGAUUUAUAUGAAUCUAAAAAAUAUCUAAAUAACAAAUAUAUAUAUAAAAUAUGUUCGGAUAUUUGUACCAAAAAUAAUCAUAUUAUCCGAUUCGGUCCAAGUCGUUUAAAUACAAUUAGUUAUAUUACGACACAUCUAAAAUAUAUAACACUAAUAAUGAAAUAAAAUAUCAAUGUAAAAAAUGUAAAAACCAAUCUUAGUGUGGGUGCGCGGAUAAUCUCUAGUUAUAUUUGAAGUAUAAGACAUAGUUCUUUUUAAUCAGAAAUAGUUUUAUGUGGAAAGUUUAAUGAAUUUUCUAUUUCUUUGAAAUGACUUUCAUGUUAGUUGUUAUAGCUUAGAGUUUUUGACCCAAAAAAAAGAGUUAUUCAUAUGUUCAUACAUAUAAUUUUGUCACGAUUCACAAAUGAGACUAAACCAAAACUUUUCGAGUCACAAACUGGGUGACGAUUGAUUGGUAGAUAGGUAGUUCACAGUUGUUUUUUUGUUUGUCGAUUUUUCUUAUCUUUUUUUUUCUUCGUAAAUGCAUUAACUUUUAGGAACUUCCAUAAAACUUGUUGGUCCAACAAGUCUUCUUCUUGGCAUGUUCGGGCUUGUCUCGUGGUUGAUGGCUAUUUCGAAAAUCUGCAACUAUUUCAUAAUUUAAAAUAUGACGUCAAAAAUGAAUAUUUAUUAUCCUUUAUAUAAAAUUCUUAUUGUCUAAAUCAUAUAUAGAUAUGCAAAAAAUGGCCACCGGAUUUUUUUAUUAAACGUCUUUUUCUGAUGAGUAAGCUGUUUGUGGUUGAGAAAAAUCAAUGAAAUAGAUAUACAAAUAUUAAAUGUGACGCUUUUAGUAGUUAAAUGUUGUCUUUCUCAAACAGUCAAACUCAAUCAUUAUUGGGGUAAAAUAAUCAAAAACAAAAUUUGUAAAAUAAUAAAUCAAAUUUAGUAGUUAGAUUUUUUUAAUUUCUUGUCUCUGAAGAAACUUUGAUUGAUAUUGGCUCGUUACUAUACAGGUGUUUCUCUGUUGCUUACUUGCUGGUCUAAGUAUCUGUUGGUUCAACACAGUCUGCUUUGUGCUCUGCAUCAGCAACUUCCCUGCAAACAGAGCGCUUGCUCUGUCCAUCACAGUAAGCUUCAACGGUGUAAGCGCUGCCUUAUACACACUUGCUUACAACGCAAUCAACCCAACCUCUCCAGAGCUCUACCUUCUCUUAAACGCUCUCAUACCACUCGUUGUCUCCUUCACUGCAAUCAUCCCGAUACUUCGUCAACCGCCUUUCGAGCCUCUUCCACCAGAUGGAGUUCGCCGCGACUCUCUCAUGUUUCUACUGCUCAACAUUCUCGCCGCUCUAA
rnacentral:lncRNA from 1 species